AUUUUAUGAUGAUGCUGAUGAUGAUGAUGAUCAUCAUCAUCACCAUCAUCAUCAAAG
rnacentral:pre_miRNA from 1 species